CCUACGGGGUGCAGCAGUGAGGAAUAUUGGUCAAUGGACGAGAGUCUGAACCAGCCAAGUAGCGUGAAGGAUGACUGCCCUAUGGGUUGUAAACUUCUUUUAUAUGGGAAUAAAACGUUCCACGUGUGGGAUUUUGUAUGUACCAUAUGGAUAAGGAUCGGCUAACUCCGUGCCAGCAGCCGCGGUAAUACGGAGGAUCCGAGCGUUAUCCGGAUUUAUUGGGUUUAAAGGGAGCGUAGGUGGAUUGUUAAGUCAGUUGUGAAAGUUUGCGGCUCAACCGUAAAAUUGCAGUUGAAACUGGCAGUCUUGAGUAAAGUAGAGGUGGGCGGAAUUCGUGGUGUAGCGGUGAAAUGCUUAGAUAUCACGAAGAACUCCGAUUGCGAAGGCAGUUCACUGGACUGCAACUGACACUGAGGCUCGAAAGUGUGGGUAUCAAACAGGAUUAGAUACCCUUGUAGUC
rnacentral:rRNA from 1 species